ensembl:misc_RNA Metazoa_SRP Metazoan signal recognition particle RNA
GCUGGGUGUGGUGGCUCACGCCUGUAAUCCCAACUACUCAGGAGGCUGAGGCAGGAGGAUUGCUUGAGCCCAGGAGUUUGAGACCAGCCUGGGCAACAUAGCAAGACCCCAUCUCAA